AAGUCGUAACAAGGUAACCGUAGGUGAACCUGCGGUUGGAUCAUUAAUAAAUGAUUUGGUUUUAUACCAAAACAUUGUGUGCAAUCAUAUCUGUCUCUGGUGGUUAACCUUUUUUGUCUGGCAGGAGUAUCAUGUUUCUUUCGAAAGAGGGCUCUUACAUGAUAUCUCAUACUAGCAAAAAUACCUUACCACCAAUUGAAUACACAAACCUUUGUAUGUUUUUUUUUAAGUCUGAAUCAUUCACUUUUGUGCAAUGAAAAAACAACUUUUGACAACGGAUCUCUUGGCUCUC
rnacentral:misc_RNA from 1 species